ACGGAAGGCAGCAGUAGGGAAUAUUGCACAAUGGGGGGAACCCUGAUGCAGCAACGCCACGUGUGGGAAGAAGCAUUUCGGUGUGUAAACCACUGUCGUGAGGGAAUAAUGCUUGGUCUCGGCCAAGUCGAAUGUACCUCGAAAGGAAGCACCGGCAAACUUCGUGCCAGCAGCCGCGGUAAUACGAGGGGUGCAAGCGUUGUUCGGAAUCACUGGGCGUAAAGGGAGCGUAGGCGGAGACGCAAGCAGUCUGUACAAUCCCGGGGCCCAACCCCGGACCUGCAGACUGGACUGUGUCUCUUGGAUAGUUCAGGGGCAGGCGGAAUUCCUGGUGUAGCGGUGGAAUGCGUAGAGAUCAGGAAGAACACCGAUGGCGAAGGCAGCCUGCUGGGGACUCAUCGACGCUGAGGCUCGAAAGUGCGGGUAGCAAACAGGAUUAGAUACCCUGGUA
rnacentral:rRNA from 1 species